GCCUUAGUGGUGUAGUGGUCAGCACGCUCGACGCGAGUUCGAGAGGUCCGGGAUCGAGUCUCGGCGAGGGCA